CAUACAGGACUGUGAUGCUAACUUCAAAGGGACCAAAGUUUCUCUAAUACCAAGAGAUCAAACCCCUUCUGCGCCCUCUGUCUCCAUUAUGAAAUCAGAAAAUGAGAGCAUUGCUGCUUGCCUGGUGAAAGAUUUCUACCCUAAAGAAUUGAAGAUAUUCAUGAAUUCUGACAGUCAAACUAUAUAUGAAGCAACAUCUAUCCUCACAUCUAGUGGGAAAUAUAGUGCCGUCAAAGUUGCCAAGUUGUCUUCAAAUGAACUAGUGUCUUGCGCCGUUCAACAUAACAGAAAACUUAUUAAGAAAACUGAAACAGCUGAGGAGCCACCAGAUUUCACAUCUCCUGCUCCUGAUCUGUGCAACAUUUCAAACUCCAGUCUUGAAGACAAGAAUGAGGAGAAAAGCAUGAAGAUGCUAUCCGCGGCUCUGCUGGCUUUGGAAAUUGUGCUUGCAAAGAGCAUCAUCUUCAAUGUGAGCAUGAUUGCAAGAUUAGUCUUUGAGGUUUGCAAGAAGGAGCGAAGAAGGAUCUAAUAAACAAUGCUAAAUUUCUGUCAACUUUAAUUAUAUAUACUGCUUUUGAUACUGACAAUUAGUCUGCAUUUGUUGUUGCUAGGAAUAGAUUUUUAACAAGCUAAUUUUGGUAACUGAAUAACAAUUGUAGAGUUACAAUAACAACUUCAGAGUUAAGACUGGAGGAGAUUUUCUAUUUUAAAAUUUAUUUUGUAUUCCCUCAAAUCUUUUUUUGCCCCGUGGAAAAAAACACAACCUGUCUUUAAUACAAGCCUACCAUGUUUCUUAGGCUAGAAAAAUGAUAGAAUGUUUGACAGCUAAGUUAUACUGAUUGUGCAAGAAUUUUUGGAAGCGUAGACUUUGAAAGAUGAUGGUCUUUUAAAAAAUGUCUUCUGAUGUUUUGCAUUCAUGUAUUUUCCUUUCCUAUAUUUAUAUGAAAGCAAUGUUUUAUGUUUUGCUGGAUGUUGCUUGCAUAAUAAAAAAUUGUUGCA